rnacentral:rRNA from 1 species
GCGCACGCUGGCGGCGUGCUUAACCCAUGCCAGUCGAACGGAAAGGCCCUGCUUUUGUGGGGUGCUCGAGUGGCGAACGGGUGAGUAACACGUGAGUAACCUGCCCUUGACUUUGGGAUAACUUCAGGAAACUGGGGCUAAUACCGGAUAGGAGCUCCUGCUGCAUGGUGGGGGUUGGAAAGUUUCGGCGGUUGGGGAUGGACUCGCGGCUUAUCAGCUUGUUGGUGGGGUAGUGGCUUACCAAGGCUUUGACGGGUAGCCGGCCUGAGAGGGUGACCGGCCACAUUGGGACUGAGAUACGGCCCAGACUCCUACGGGAGGCAGCAGUGGGGAAUAUUGCACAAUGGGCGGAAGCCUGAUGCAGCAACGCCGCGUGCGGGAUGACGGCCUUCGGGUUGUAAACCGCUUUCGCCUGUGACGAAGCGUGAGUGACGGUAAUGGGUAAAGAAGCACCGGCUAACUACGUG